UAUAAACAAAUUUGUACUGUGAAACUGCGAAUGGCUCAUUAAAUCAGUUAUAGUUUAUUUGAUGAUACCUUGCUACAUGGAUAACUGUGGUAAUUCUAGAGCUAAUACAUGCGUCAAAGCCGCGACUUCUGGAAGCGGUGUAUUUAUUAGAUAAAAAACCAACGCGGUUCGCCGCUCCCUUGGUGAUUCAUAAUAACUUCUCGAAUCGCAUGGCCUUGCGCCGGCAAUGCUUCAUUCAAAUAUCUGCCCUAUCAAGUUUAGAUGGUAGGAUAGAGGCCUACCAUGCUUUCAACGGGUAACGGGGAAUAAGGGUUCGAUUCCGGAGAGGGAGCCUGAGAAACGGCUACCACAUCCAAGGAAGGCAGCAGGCGCGCAAAUUACCCAAUCCCGACACGGGGAGGUAGUGACAAUAAAUAACAAUAUGGGGCUCAAACGGGUCCCAUAAUUGGAAUGAGUACAAUUUAAAUCCCUUAACGAGGAACAAUUGGAGGGCAAGUCUGGUGCCAGCAGCCGCGGUAAUUCCAGCUCCAAUAGCGUAUAUUAAAGUUGUUGCCGUUAAAAAGCUCGUAGUUGAACUUUCAUGGGCUCACGCGGUCUGCCUCACGGCAAGUACUGUGUGGGCUCGUGCUCCUGGGUGGUGAGCCGCCAUGUCGUUUACUCGGUGUGGCGGGGAACCACCUCUGUUACCUUGAGAAAAUUAGAGUGUUCAAAGCAGGCCUAUGCCCGAAUAUAUUAGCAUGGAAUAACGAAAUAGGACUUGCGGUUCUAUUUUGUUGGUUUCAAGCGUGGCCGUAAUGAUUAAUAGGGAUAGUUGGGGGCAUUAGUAUUCAGUUGCAAGAGGUGAAAUUCUUGGAUUUACUGAAGACUAAUUACUGCGAAAGCAUUUGCCAAGGAUGUUUUCAUUAAUCAAGAACGAAGGUUAGGGGAUCGAAAACGAUCAGAAACCGUUGUAGUCUUAACAGUAAACUAUGCCGACUAGGGAUCGGACGAACUCAUUUUUAUGUGUCGUUCGGCACCUUACGAGAAAUCAAAGUUUUUGGGUUCGGGGGGGAGUAUGGUCGCAAGGCUGAAACUUAAAGGAAUGAC
rnacentral:rRNA from 1 species